rnacentral:rRNA from 1 species
UGAGGGAAUAUUUGGGGUCAAUGGACGGGAGUCUGAACCAGCCAAGUAGCGUGCAGGAUGACGGCCCUAUGGGUUGUAAACUGCUUUUUAGUAGGGGGAUAAAGUGUGCCACGUGUGGCAUAUCGCAGGUACCCUAUGAAUAAGGACCGGCUAAUUCCGUGCCAGCAGCCGCGGUAAUACGGAAGGUCCGGGCGUUAUCCGGAUUUAUUGGGUUUAAAGGGAGCGUAGGCCGGAGAUUAAGCGUGUUGCGAAAUGUAGUGGCUCAACCUCUGCACUGCAGCGCGAACUGGUCUUCUUGAGUACGCACAACGUGGGCGGAAUUCGUGGUGUAGCGGUGAAAUGCUUAGAUAUCACGAAGACUCCGAUUGCGAAGGCAGCUCA